GGAACAGACGAGGAAGACGAGGGCACCGGGGUGAAAACAGCGGGGCCGUGGGAGUAAAAAGUUACAGAGUGGCUCCGGGCUGAUACUGAUGCUAGCUGGCCCUGCUAGAUAUCAGUUAGCAUAACUACUGCGCCACUUUUCAAUGUCACGACGUGGAGUCUGAGGCAUGAACGGACUGACGCGAGCAAGAGUCACGUCUUCAGUACAUGGCCGCUAGUCUCGACCUGCUCAGUGUCCCAGAGUGUAGCAGAGUGCCGGGGUUCUUCUGCGCAGAGGAGGAAAGAGAGCCGGAUUGAAGCUGGGCCCGCUCACAGUUUUUUAUUUUUAUUUUUUUUUUUAUUGCGGAUUUAAUGAGCUGUGUCACAGGCUGUCGGGCUCAGUGCUUGAUGCUUCGCUCUUUGGUUGCCACGGCCUGGAUUCAGCCUCCCUCCUCUCAUCUGUGUUGAUUCCAGGGGGAGCAGGCAGCAGGUUGAGGUGAAAAAGCUCUGAUAAACCCCAGUGCGUGUUACCUGCCGAGCGCCAGACGACACACAAAGAGCAGCUGGAGAGCCAGAUAUCCCCCCCCCUGAAAUAGAUCCCAAAGUGAUUCAUGAAAGAGCUACAAAAGAGUUUUACAUCUGGUGUCAUCGCAGGGUUUACAAAGACUGUUUUGUUAAGACUGCAAGGGCUUUUCAUCUGUUUCCACGUGCUGGAGCUAAAAGGUGCAGAAUUUUGAUAUUCUGAAAACCUUGAGAUGUUUCUGUAACUCGUGUUCAUGUGCAAACGAGCCCUUAACAAAGAGGCAUCUUUUAUUGCAUGCAGUGUUUGGGUUGCAUCCUACAUUUGUGUUCAAUCUUAAAAGUCUGUCUUAGAAAAAUGGUGUUUCAAAGUGCUUGGGAAUUGGGUGCAGUCUU